GAUGAACGCUGACAGAAUGCUUAACACAUGCAAGUCAACUUGAACUUCGGUUUGGGUGGCGGACGGGUGAGUAACGCGUAAAGAACUUGCCUCACAGAUAGGGACAACAUCUGGAAACGAAUGCUAAUACCUGAUAUUAUGAUUUUAGGGCAUCCUAGGAUUAUGAAAGCUAUAUGCACUGUGAGAGAGCUUUGCGUCCCAUUAGCUAGUUGGAGAGGUAACGGCUCACCAAGGCGAUGAUGGGUAGCCGGCCUGAGAGGGUGAUCGGCCACAAGGGGACUGAGACACGGCCCUUACUCCUACGGGAGGCAGCAGUGGGGAAUAUUGGACAAUGGACCAAGAGUCUGAUCCAGCAAUUCUGUGUGCACGAUGAAGUUUUUCGGAAUGUAAAGUGCUUUCAGUUGGGAAGAAAAAAAUGACGGUACCAACAGAAGAAGUGACGGCUAAAUACGUGCCAGCAGCCGCGGUAAUACGUAUGUCACAAGCGUUAUCCGGAUUUAUUGGGCGUAAAGCGCGUCUAGGUGGUUAUGUAAGUCUGAUGUGAAAAUGCAGGGCUCAACUCUGUAUUGCGUUGGAAACUGUGUAACUAGAGUACUGGAGAGGUAAGCGGAACUACAAGUGUAGAGGUGAAAUUCGUAGAUAUUUGUAGGAAUGCCGAUGGGGAAGCCAGCUUACUGGACAGAUACUGACGCUGAAGCGCGAAAGCGUGGGUAGCAAACAGG
rnacentral:rRNA from 1 species